rnacentral:rRNA from 1 species
UACGUAGGGUGCGAGCGUUACUCGGAAUUACUGGGCGUAAAGCGUGCGCAGGCGGCUUCGCAAGUCAGACGUGAAAUCCCCGGGCUUAACCUGGGAAUGGCGUUUGAAACUACGGAGCUGGAGUAUGGCAGAGGGGGGUGGAAUUCCACGUGUAGCGGUGAAAUGCGUAGAUAUGUGGAGGAACACCGAUGGCGAAGGCAGCCCCCUGGGCCAAUACUGACGCUCAUGCACGAAAGCGUGGGGAGCAAACAGG